rnacentral:rRNA from 1 species
AGACAGCAGUCGCCACGGUAAUACAGAGGGUGCAAGCGUUAAUCGGAAUUACUGGGCGUAAAGCGCGCGUAGGUGGUUUGUUAAGUUGGAUGUGAAAGCCCCGGGCUCAACCUGGGAACUGCAUCCAAAACUGGCAAGCUAGAGUACGGUAGAGGGUGGUGGAAUUUCCUGUGUAGCGGUGAAAUGCGUAGAUAUAGGAAGGAACACCAGUGGCGAAGGCGACCACCUGGACUGAUACUGACACUGAGGUGCGAAAGCGUGGGGAGCAAACAGGAUUAGAUACCCCAGUAGUCCCUGUCUCUUAUAC